GAUUCAAUCAUGUACACCUAGACAUCA
rnacentral:sRNA from 1 species